rnacentral:lncRNA from 1 species
UUUAAGUGGUCUCUCAGUAUGUAAAUACAGAGCUAACUUUUACACAGAUUAAGAAUGAAAUUAUAGAAAGUAUAGAUUACUUAAAACAUUCUAAGAAAGCUAGCAGAUGUAGAUAAUUGAUUUAGAAGUUUUUUGACUAGUGAUUUCCUUUCUGUUUGAGGCUGUAGAGAUGUGAGCAGACCUCCUGGAAGGUGGCUUAAAUCUCUAGAGUGCUCUUCAGGUGUAACUAUUUGGUUGUUAUGGUAAUAAACGUAUAACUCCCUCAUGAUGCUCAGUCCAGCGGUCUGCCAUGUAGUUACGGGAACCACUGGUCCUCGAAGGAGGAUCCGGUCAUUAGUGUACUUGAGCAACUACUUCUCUUUGACCCAUGGCCGCACCUCUCACGUGGCUGGCCAGACUUUGCAUAGAUACAAGUGCCAUUAUACCUUCCUUUAUCAUUUUUAG